AUUGAACGCUGGCGGCAGGCCUAACACAUGCAAGUCGGGCGGAUGAAGGGAGCUUGCUCCUGGAUUCAGCGGCGGACGGGUGAGUAAUGCCUAGGAAUCUGCCUGGUAGUGGGGGAUAACGUCCGGAAACGGGCGCUAAUACCGCAUACGUCCUGAGGGAGAAAGUGGGGGAUCUUCGGACCUCACGCUAUCAGAUGAGCCUAGGUCGGAUUAGCUAGUUGGUGGGGUAAAGGCCUACCAAGGCGACGAUCCGUAACUGGUCUGAGAGGAUGAUCAGUCACACUGGAACUGAGACACGGUCCAGACUCCUACGGGAGGCAGCAGUGGGGAAUAUUGGACAAUGGGCGAAAGCCUGAUCCAGCAAUGCCGCGUGUGUGAAGAAGGUCUUCGGAUUGUAAAGCACUUUAAGUUGGGAGGAAGGGCAGUAAGUUAAUACCUUGCUGUUUUGACGUUACCAACAGAAUAAGCACCGGCUAACUUCGUG
rnacentral:rRNA from 1 species